rnacentral:rRNA from 1 species
AGGAUGAACGCUAGCGGCAGGCUUAACAUUGCAAGUCGAGGGGUAUAUGUCUUCGGAUAUAGAGACCGGCGCACGGGUGCGUAACGCGUAUGCAAUCUACCUUUUACAGAGGGAUAGCCCAGAGAAAUUUGGAUUAAUACCUCAUAGUAUAGCUCUACCGCAUGGUAGUACUAUUAAAGUCACAACGGUAAAAGAUGAGCAUGCGUCCCAUUAGCUAGUUGGUAAGGUAACGGCUUACCAAGGCAACGAUGGGUAGGGGUCCUGAGAGGGAGAUCCCCCACACUGGUACUGAGACACGGACCAGACUCCUACGGGAGGCAGUAGUGAGGAAUAUUGGACAAUGGGCGCAAGCCUGAUCCAGCCAUGCCGCGUGCAGGAUGACGGUCCUAUGGAUUGUAAACUGCUUUGGUACGAGAAGAAACACUGCUUCGUGAAGCAGCUUGACGGUAUCGUAAGAAUAAGGAUCGGCUAACUCCGUGCCAGCAGCCGCGGUAAUACGGAGGAUCCAAGCGUUAUCCGGAAUCAUUGGGUUUAAAGGGUCCGUAGGCGGUUUAGUAAGUCAGUGGUGAAAGCCCAUCGCUCAACGGUGGAACGGCCAUUGAUACUGCUGAACUUGAAUUAUUAGGAAGUAACUAGAAUAUGUAGUGUAGCGGUGAAAUGCUUAGAGAUUACAUGGAAUACCAAUUGCAAAGGCAGGUUACUACUAAUUGAUUGACGCU